AAAUGCGAUAAGUAAUGUGAAUUGCAGAAUUCAGUGAAUCAUCGAAUCUUUGAACGCACCUUGCGCUCCUCGGUAUUCCUUGGAGCAUGCCUGUUUGAGUAUCAUGAAAUCUUCAAAGUAAAUCUUUUGUUAACUCAAUUGGUUUCUACUUUGGUAUUGGAGGUCUUUGCAGCUUCACACCUGCUCCUCUUUGUUCAUUAGCUGGAUCUCAGUGUUAUGCUUGGUUCCACUCGGCGUGAUAAGUUAUCUAUCGCUGAGGACACUGUAAAAGGUGGCCAAGGUAAAUGCAGAUGAACCGCUUCUAAUAGUCCAUUGACUUGGACAAUACUUUUAUGAUCUGAUCUCAAAUCAGGUAGGACUACCCGCUGAACUUAAGC
rnacentral:misc_RNA from 1 species